rnacentral:rRNA from 1 species
UACGUAGGGGGCAAGCGUUGUCCGGAUUUAUUGGGCGUAAAGAGCGUGUAGGCGGCCUGACAGGUCUGCUGUGAAAACUCGAGGCUCAACCUCGAGACGCCGGUGGAAACCAUCAGGCUAGAGUCCGGAAGAGGAGAGUGGAAUUCCUGGUGUAGCGGUGAAAUGCGCAGAUAUCAGGAAGAACACCCGUGGCUAAGGCGGCUCUCUAGUACGGUACUGACGCUGAGACGCGAAAGCGUGGGGAGCGAACAGG